rnacentral:rRNA from 1 species
UGGCGAACGGGUGAGUAACACGUGGGUGAUCUGCCUUGCACUCUGGGAUAAGCUUGGGAAACUGGGUCUAAUACCAGAUAGGAACCGUCUUUAGUGUGGUGGUUGGAAAGUUUUUUCGGUGCAAGAUGAGCUCGCGGCCUAUCAGCUUGUUGGUGGGGUAAUGGCCUACCAAGGCGUCGACGGGUAGCCGGCCUGAGAGGGUGUACGGCCACAUUGGGACUGAGAUACGGCCCAG